GAAUGUAUGAGAAUACUACUUGGAUAACCGUAGUAAUUCUAGAGCUAAUACAUGCAACGACGCCCGACCGUUUCACUACGGAAGGGCUGUAUUUAUUGGAUACCAAAACCAUCCUUCCCUCGGGAAGUUUUGUUUGAUGAUUCACAAUAACUGAUCGGAUCGCCACUGUGGUGGCGACAGGUCAUUCAACAUUCUGCCCUAUCAGCUUUCGAUGGUUGUGUAGUGGACAACCAUGGCCAUAACGGGUAACGGAGAAUCAGGGUUCGAUUCCGGAGAAGGAGCUUGAGAAUUGGCUACUACAUCUAAGGAAGGCAGCAGGCGCGCAAAUUACCCGAUCCCGAUUCGGGGAGGUAGUGACAAAAAAUAACAAUACCGGGCCUUUUUGGGCUUGGUAAUUGGAAUGAGGGAGAGUUAAACGGACCAUCGAGUAUCCAUUGGAGGGCAAGUCUGGUGCCAGCAGCUGCGGUAAUACCAGCUCCGAUAGCGUAUAUUAAAGUUGUUGCAGUUAAAAAGCUCGUAGUUGGACUUGUGUGCGCUGUCCGCGGGUGGCCUGCGCCCAAAAGGGCGUUUCGGUUCGGCCCCGGUGGCGCCUUGAAAUCUGCAGCUGGGGGGACGUUGGCCUUAACUGGUCGGCGACCGCACGCCGGCUGCUCGGUUACUGUGAGAAAAUUAGAGUGUUCAAGGCAGGCAUUGGGUGCAAUUGAAUACAUUAGCAUGGAAUAAUAAAAUAUGGCUCCUGCCGUAUUUUGUUGGUUUUGACUGGUGGGAGUAAUGAUUGAUAGGGACGGUUGGGGGUGCUAGUAUUGAGCGGCCAGAGGUGAAAUUCAUGGAUUCGCUCAAGACUAACUUAUGCGAAAGCAUUCACCAAGGACGUCCUCUUUAAUCAAGAACGAAAGUUGGGGGAUCGAAGACGAUCAGAUACCGUCGUAGUCUCAACCAUAAACUAUGUCGACUUGGGAUCGGCGGUAGUUUUUUCAUUAAGACACUGUCGGGACCACGGGAGAAAUCAAAGUGUCUGGACUCUGGGGGAAGUAUGGUCGCAAGGCUGAAACUUGAAGGAAUUGACGGAAGGGCACCACCAGGAGUGGAGCCUGCGGCUUAAUUUGACGCAACACGGGGAAACUUACCAGGUCCAGAGAUGUAGGGGAUUGACAGAUUGAAGCUCUUUCUUGAUCACUUCGGUGGUGGUGCAUGGCCGUUCUUAGUUGGUGGAGUGAUUUGUCUGGUUAAUUCCGUUAACGAACGAGACCUCAGCCUGCUAGUGUAGUCGGCUGGA
rnacentral:rRNA from 1 species